CAAUGCCAAACGAUCCCGAUCAAAAUUUGCCUCUCCCUGAUUUCUCUCUCUUUCCUGAAAACAGUACAUCUCUUCAAUUUCUGUUCAUAUAACUAACCCUCACUCCUCUCUCAUCGAUCCCCAUCCUUCACACAAAGAGAGAGAGAGAGAGAGAGAGAGAGAGAGGAUGAGCUUAGUAGGCCCUGAUGACAACAACCAUGAGGAAACCCACAAGAAAAAUGGAGGAGGAGAAGAGAGCAAGAAGGCACAAAAAGUCCCCUUCUUGAAGCUCUUCAGCUUUGCUGACUCAUGGGAUUAUCUCCUCAUGGCCGUUGGCUCUGUAGGAGCUUGUGUCCAUGGAGCUUCAGUGCCUGUCUUCUUCAUUUUCUUCGGCAAGCUCAUUAACAUCAUAGGAAUUGCUUACCUAUUCCCAGCUUCGGUUAAUGAUAGAGUUGCCAAGUACUCAUUAGACUUUGUUUAUCUGGGUAUUGUGAUGUUGUUCUCAUCAUGGACUGAGGUUGCGUGUUGGAUGCACACUGGAGAGAGACAAGCAGCAAAGAUGAGGCUAGCAUACUUGAGGUCGUUGCUCGAUCAAGAUAUUAGUGUGUUUGAUACAGAGGCUUCAACUGGAGAGGUGAUCAACGCAAUCACUAGUGAUAUCAUAAUAGUAGAAGAUGCCAUCUCUGAGAAGGUUGGCAACUUUAUGCACUACAUAUGCCGAUUCAUCGCUGGAUUUGCCAUUGGGUUUUCAAGAGUCUGGCAAAUAAGCCUCGUUACCCUCUCUAUCGUCCCUCUGAUCGCCAUUGCUGGUGGCAUCUACGCCUAUGUAGCCGUUGGGCUCAUCGCUCGUGUGCGCAAAUCUUAUGUCAAGGCCGGAGAAAUCGCUGAAGAGGUUAUUGGGAAUGUUAGGACAGUGCAAGCAUUUGUGGGAGAACAGAAGGCACUGGAGAGCUACAGGAAUGCAUUGGUGAAUACCUACAAGUAUGGGAAGAAAGGUGGGUUGGCUAAGGGACUUGGGCUCGGGUCACUGCAUUGCAUUCUGUUUUUUUCGUGGGCAUUGCUCACUUGGUUCACUAGCAUCGUUGUCCAUAGGGACAUAGCAAAUGGAGGGGAGUCAUUCACGACGAUGCUCAAUGUUGUCAUUGCAGGAUUGGCACUGGGUCUAGCAGGCCCAAAUGUCUCCACAUUCCUCAGAGCAAGAACCGCUGCAUACCCCAUUUUUCAGAUGAUAGAAAGGAACACGGUUAGCAAAAUAAGUUCAAGGACGGGGAAAACACUGCCUAGUGUUGAUGGUGACAUUGAAUUUGACAAUGUUAGGUUCAGUUAUCCUUCACGACCUGACGUCCAAAUAUUUGACAGCCUUAGUCUUGACAUACCAUCUGGGAAGAUUGUUGCUCUUGUUGGUGGAAGUGGUUCGGGAAAGAGCACUGUCAUCUCACUCAUCGAGCGGUUCUAUGAUCCUCUUUCCGGAGCAAUUCUCUUGGAUGGACAUGACAUCAAGGGUCUAGACCUUAAGUGGUUGAGGCAGCAAAUAGGAUUGGUCAAUCAAGAGCCAGCCCUUUUUGCCACAAGCAUCAGAGAGAACAUACUCUAUGGAAAAGAUGAUGCAACCCUUGAUGAAAUAACCGGUGCUGCUAAACUUUCUGAGGCCAUAACUUUCAUCAACAACCUUCCUGAGCGAUAUGAGACACAGGUUGGAGAGAGAGGAGUCCAGUUGUCUGGUGGGCAAAAACAGCGCAUAGCAAUAUCAAGAGCGAUAUUGAAGAACCCAUCAAUUCUUCUCCUUGAUGAGGCCACAAGUGCACUUGAUGCCGAGUCAGAGAGAAGCGUUCAGGAGGCACUUGACCGUGUCAUGGUGGGUAGAACUACAGUUGUAGUGGCCCAUAGACUCUCCACUAUAAGGAAUGCAGACAUCAUUGCAGUGGUCCAAAAUGGGAAGAUUGUGGAGACUGGAACCCAUGAGCAGCUCAUGCUGAACUCUGAGAGUGCCUAUGCUUCCCUUGCUAAGCUCCAGGAUGCUUCUGCCCAGCAAUCAUCCCACUUUGAGAAAGCAAAUACCACACCUUCUCAGAGUAUCAACUAUUCACAUAACUUGUCACGUAAAACAAGCUUGGGAGCGAGCUUUCGCUCUGACAAGGACUCUGUCAAUCACCUUGUUCCGGAAGAAAUUGAUCCUCCUAAAGCAAAGCCUGUCUCCAUGAAAAGAUUGUACUCUAUGAUAGGUCCUGAUUGGAUAUAUGGCGUGUUUGGAACAGUGGGUGCAUUUGUAGCUGGUGCUCAAAUGCCGCUCUUUGCUCUUGGAGUAACUCAAGCUCUCAUUUCCUAUUAUAUGGACUGGGAGACUACUCAGAGGGAAGUAAAGAAGAUAGCAUUGCUCUUCUGUGGUGGUGCCGUUCUCACAGUGAUUUUCCAUGUCAUUGAGCACUUAAACUUUGGUAUCAUGGGUGAAAGACUCACACUUCGCGUCAGAGAGAAGAUGUUUGAAGCAAUGCUACGAAAUGAGAUAGGAUGGUUCGAUGAGACUAGUAAUAACAGUGCGAUUUUGUCAUCUCGGCUUGAAACUGAUGCCACUUUGCUCAAAACUAUAGCUGUUGAUCGCUCAACUAUCCUCCUCCAGAAUAUAGGGAUGAUGGUAACAUCAUUCAUUAUCGCUUUCAUCAUUAACUGGAGAAUAACUCUUGUGGUUUUGGCUACUUUCCCGCUAAUGGUCAGUGGGCAUAUUGCUGAGAAACUAUUCAUGAAAGGAUUUGGAGGGAACCUGAGCAAGACAUACUUAAAAGCUAACAUGCUUGCUGCAGAGGCUGUCAGCAAUAUUCGGACAGUUGCUGCGUUUUGCUCAGAGGAGAAGAUUAUUGACCUAUAUUCCAGGGAGCUCGAGGCACCCUCAAAGCAAUCUUUUCGUCGUGGCCAGGCUGCAGGCAUCUUUUACGGUGUCUCCCAGUGCUUCCUCUUUUCUUCAUAUGCAUUGGCUUUGUGGUAUGGCUCAGUCCUCAUGGGCAAAGGGCUUUCGAGCUUCAGCUCUGUCAUGAAAUCCUUUAUGGUCUUGAUAGUGACUGCAUUGGCCAUGGGAGAGACUUUAGCAAUGGCUCCGGACAUCAUCAAAGGGAACCAAAUGGCAGCUUCAGUGUUUGAGGUGUUGGACCGAAAGACUGAGGUUGUAGGGGAUGUUGGAGAGGAUGUUCAGAGAGUAGAUGGAGUAAUUGAGAUGAGGGGUGUUGAAUUUCAGUACCCUUCACGACCUGAUGUUAGAAUUUUCAAAGAGUUUGAUUUGACAGUGAAGGCUGGGAAGAGCAUGGCAUUGGUGGGUACAAGUGGUUCCGGCAAAAGUACAGUUCUGUCACUGAUAUUAAGGUUCUAUGAUCCAGCAUCCGGAAAAGUUAUGAUUGACGGUAAAGACAUUAAGGAACUUCGAGUCAAAUCCCUACGAAAACACAUCGGGCUUGUCCAACAGGAGCCAGCACUCUUUGCCACCACCAUUUACGAAAACAUCCUCUAUGGGAAGGACGGUGCGACAGAAUCAGAAGUCAUAGAAGCAGCGAAGCUUGCGAAUGCACACUCCUUCAUAAGUGCCCUACCCGAAGGCUACUCAACUAGGGUUGGGGAGCGUGGGGUCCAAUUAUCUGGUGGUCAGAAGCAACGGGUAGCCAUUGCUCGGGCCAUUAUAAAGAAUCCAGCCAUCCUUCUUCUUGAUGAGGCAACGAGUGCUCUUGAUGCUGAGUCUGAGCGUGUAGUUCAGCAAGCACUUGAUCGUGUCAUGAGAGGCCGAACCACUGUCAUGGUAGCUCAUAGACUUUCCACAAUCCAGAAUGCUGAUAUUAUCUCGGUACUUCAGAAUGGGAAGAUUAUAGAGCAAGGGAGUCAUUCUGCUCUUGUGGACAAUAGGAAUGGUUCUUAUUUCAAGUUGACAAAACUUCAGCAACGUUCACAGUAACAGUAGUUUUAGUAUCUGUUUGUUGUACAGAAGUACAAAUCAACUCCUGCUUCUUGUGCCACACAAAUAUAGGCAAUCUCUUAUACAAUGUUCACCACUGGAGCAGAGGGGGUCCAACUGAUCUCCAAAGAAGGUACAAGCAAAAUUCAUUCUUGAGCUUUGACUGCUUGUUGAAUGGUCAGUUUUUCUACGUGAUUUUAUGUCCACACACCCAACCUCCAAUUAUGGAAUGUAGAGCUGUAGAAGAUAAGAAUGCAUGACUAAUGCCUCGGUAAAGUGAGGAAUAUCCAUGAGACUAUGUUUCCAAAUGCCCAAUUAGGUGCAUCAAAAAGGAUUUAGAUAUAUUUAGUAUGAAAUUAGUACUUUCAGGGCCUGUAGUUCUAACUUUUGUGACCCUUGGUGUCAGUCUUGCC